AAAGAAACAAAGAAGACUGCCAACACUUCCUGUGGGAAUAUUUAGGCAGUAGCUCAGUAACGUAACCCCACAGGGUCACAUCAGGGGUCAGCAAUAGUUCCCGGAUGUAGAGCCCCGCCCACCAGCAGCAUCAAGAACAUUAUGUUGAUCAGGCAGGGAAGCACAGGUUCAGACACAGGAUGACCCUAACACAAUGAGGUUGUGUGGCCGGAAACUUCUGCGGGCACUGGUGUACACCUGUGGAGGAUCCAGGUGGAGAAGACUGACAGGAGGAGAGGACAAAGUUCGAGAGGGUCAGUAUGGAGCUGCUUGAAUUUGUCUUAAUACCUUUGGUGUUAAUACCACAACUCUAAACAGAAUCGCAAAAUAGGAGACAUCUUGACAUCUUGUAAACAAAAGCUGAUAUCUCUUGGCAGGCAACAGGGAGCCAAAUCUACUGAAGAUGUCAGCCUUGGAUCGUCAUUGGCGGGACCAGAACCAAGCCUUAAUAACAACAUGUUGUCAACAAGGUUG